CUUGCUGCCGGCAGAGGAGUGGGUGUGCUUUCCAAGCCGGGCGCCUUCAUCAAAUGACAUCCAGAAUAAGAUGCUGUAUCACCUUCCCAGGACUGGAGAUGAGGCUGACAAACCUGUAGCUUCCUGGCUCCUCCUCCUUGCCCUUUUUGAAGACUGGAGUGGCAUUGGCUUUCCUUCAGUUAUUAGGCACCAUUCCUGUUUUCCAUGACCUUUCAAAGAUGAUAGGGAGUGCGCCAUGAUCUUCCCCAGACCAGAGGUGAGACUAACAGAUUCAUCAGAUGAUGACAGUAAGAAUUCACAACACUGGAAGGACAUUCAUCCUUGAGUCACAAAAUCUACUUAGAAUAAUGAUCUCAUGACACUGUAUGUUGGCAUGGAUUCA
rnacentral:lncRNA from 1 species